UACGUAGGGUGCGAGCGUUGUCCGGAAUUAUUGGGCGUAAAGAGCUCGUAGGCGGUUUGUCGCGUCGACUGUGAAAAACCUACAGCUUAACUGUGGGCUUGCAGUCGAUACGGGCAGACUUGAGUUCGGUAGGGGAGACUGGAAUUCCUGGUGUAGCGGUGAAAUGCGCAGAUAUCAGGAGGAACACCGGUGGCGAAGGCGGGUCUCUGGGCCGAUAUUGACGCUGUGGAGCGAAAGCGUGGGGAGCAAACAGG
rnacentral:rRNA from 1 species